CCUACGGGUGGCAGCAGUGGGGAAUAUUGGACAAUGGGCGCAAGCCUGACCCAGCAACGCCGCGUGAAGGAAGAAGGCUUUCGGGUUGUAAACUUCUUUUCUCAGGGACGAAGCAAGUGACGGUACCUGAGCAAUAAGCCACGGCUAACUACGUGCCAGCAGCCGCGGUAAUACGUAGGUGGCAAGCGUUAUCCGGAUUUGCUGGGUGUAAAGGGCGUGUAGACGGGAAAACAAGGCAGAUGUGAAAACCAUGGGCUCAACCUGUGGCCUGCAUUUGAAACUGUUUUUCUUGAGUACUGGAGAGGUAGAUGGAAUUCCUAGUGUAGCGGUGAAAUGCGUAGAUAUUAGGAGGAACACCAGUGGCGAAGGCGGUCUGCUGGACAGUAACUGACGUUGAGGCUCGAAAGUGUGGGUAGCAAACAGGAUUAGAUACCCGAGUAGUC
rnacentral:rRNA from 1 species